rnacentral:lncRNA from 1 species
AUGAGUGAGCUGCACAUGGUGCUGCCUGGGAAAGAAAGGAAGGGAAUGUCCACAACCACAGCAGAGAGUGAUGAGCAGAAUUCAGGAGAGGAGGAUUGUUCUUUAGCAAAAUGGGGCCCUCCCGGGGGUCAGCCCGUCCCACCGAGUGUCCACCAGCCCCUGAACCUCGGCUGCCCCGCAGGAGAGAGCUGGGAGAGCUGGGGAAUCCUGUACCAGAGAGCUCGGGAAUCCUGUACCAGAGAGCUCGGGGAUCCUGUACCGGAGAGCUGGGAGAGCUUGGGGAUCCUGUACCGGAGAGCUUGGGAAUCCUGUACCGGAGAGCUCGGGGAUCCUGUACCGGAGAGCUCGGGAAUCCUGUACCAGAGAGCUGGGAGAGCUGGGGAAUCCUGUACCGGAGAGCUUGGGAAUCCUGUACCGGAGAGCUCAGAGAGCUCAGGAAUCCUGUACCAGAGAGCUGGGGAAUCCUGUACCAGAGAGCUUGGGAAUCCUGUACCAGAGAGCUUGGGAAUCCUGUACCGGAGAGCUCAGAGAGCUCGGGAAUCCUGUACCGGAGAGCUGGGAGAGCUCGGGGAUCCUGUACCAGAGAGCUGGGAGAGCUGGGGAAUCCUGUACCAGAGAGCUGGGAGAGCUUGGGGAUCCUGUACCAGAGAGCUGGGAGAGCUGGGGAAUCCUGUACCAGAGAGCUGGGAGAGCUUGGGGAUCCUGUACCGGAGAGCUGGGGAAUCCUGUACCAGAGAGCUCGGGAAUCCUGUACCAGAGAGCUGGGAGAGCUGGGGAAUCCUGUACCGGAGAGCUGGGGAAUCCUGUACCGGAGAGCUCGGGGAUCCUGUACCGGAGAGCUCGGGAAUCCUGUACCAGAGAGCUCAGAGAGCUCGGGGAUCCUGUACCGGAGAGCUGGGGAAUCCUGUACCAGAGAGCUCAGAGAGCUCGGGAAUCCUGUACCGGAGAGCUCGGGGAUCCCAGGCUGUCCCAGCGGAUGGCACCGCGCUCCCAGGGCAGCCCCAGCCCCGCGGUGCCCAACACGGACACACACACGGGGACAGACGGACACACACGGACACACCGACACACGGACACACACACUGA